UACAGAGGUCCCAAGCGUUGUUCGGAUUCAUUGGGCGUAAAGGGUGCGUAGGUGGCGGGGUAAGUUGGAUGUGAAAUCCUGGGGCUCAACCCUAGAACUGCAUUCAAUACUGCCUUGCUGGAGUACUGGAGAGGAGAUUGGAAUUUACGGUGUAGCAGUGAAAUGCGUAGAUAUCGUAAGGAAGACCGGUGGCGAAGGCGGAUCUCUGGACAGUUACUGACACUGAGGCACGAAGGCCAGGGAGGCAAACGGG
rnacentral:rRNA from 1 species